rnacentral:tRNA from 1 species
GUUCUGGGAGGGUAAGUCUCAUCUUUGGUUUACAAAGCCAGGGCUUUGGGUUAAAUUAAGCUACCAGAAC